CCAGCCCCCAAAAAUGCACGUAUGGAAAGGCAUCGUCACCCCGCAUGUUCAUUUCUCGGACGUUCUCAGAUGCUGCUCACCAGGAGUCAAACCCACCAUGAAUUACCGCCUUAUGAAGAGAGCUGGAGGUGAUGUGUGGACUUUGUUGCUGCCUCUUCCAUAUACCCAGCUGAUACAGAGACAGGAUUUCCAAACAAGUUAUGGAGAAUGGAGAGGGAAAGAGAAUUUCAGGGCUGGGCUGUUAGCCCAGAAUAAUGGAACAUGGGUACACUGAUGGAUGACAGGAAGCUUCUGCAAUUUGCUGAAGUACAACUAAUAGCUGGCAAGCUGAAGAUCAACUCUGUCUGUAAAUACAGUUUGGGCCAAACAGAGUCACUUCAAGGUUUCUGACCUUGUAUCAGCUGCAGCUCAGGCUGGAGGUUGAAUCCAUGAGUGCAGAAGCAAUCCUUGACCCUGCAGCCUGCUUAUAUCCCAGGCCUCUAAGACCACGAGUCUUUCACAUCUGGUCAGAAUAAAGGCAGAGACAGGCAAUGAAGGGCGAGGUCUGAUUUCUGUCUCGUACUGAGUUUUGCUGUCCUCAAGCUCUUCUCCGAGGUGAAUGUUCUUGCCAGACAUUAUCAGCUUCAGCAGUUUGGCUCAGAGUUUUGCUCCAGACUCUUUUGUUCUGUUGACUUUUGGAUCAACUCUGCACUGGCUCUGUUUUGAAAGUUACU